GACGAACGCUGGCGGCGUGCUUAACACAUGCAAGUCGAACGAAGUGGCGAACGGGUGAGUAACGCGUAAUCAACCUGCCCUUCAGAGGGGGACAACAGUUGGAAACGAAUGCUAAUACCGCAUAAUGAGGGAGGGGAUGGCGUUUGAUUAGCUAGUUGGAGGGGUAACGGCCCACCAAGGCGAGGAUCAGUAGCCGGGCUGGGAGGGGUAACGGCCACAUUGGGACUGGGACACGGCCCAGACUCCUACGGGAGGCAGCAGUUGGGAAUCUUCCGCAAUGGACGAAAGUCUGACGGAGCAACGCCGCGUGAGUGAUGACGGCCUUCGGGUUGUAAAGCUCUGUUAAUCGGGACGCGGUACCGGAAUAGAAAGCCACGGCUAACUACGUGCCAGCAGCCGCGGUAAUAC
rnacentral:rRNA from 1 species